UCCACCUACAUCCACACCUCCACCUACAUCCACACCUCCACCUACAUCACUCUCUCGUCCUGCUCUCUCUGUGUUGUCAUUUGUUGGUUCAGUCUGUGUUGUGGUUCUACUGGUGUUACUGGUUCUGUUGGUGAAAAAAGAUGUUCAUGGGAAAUCUGAAGCAAAUCAAAAAGAAGCUGGAGAAGAUGACAUCAUCACUCAUGUCAUGUACAUUUCAACAUCAGGUCAUCAGCAACAUCCAGUCGGACAAAGCAAAGAGACUGAUUCAGCUGUGGUCUACUCAGCAGUGAGAACUGAAGACGUCAGUUAUAGAUAAGCAUCCAUCAGAACAAGGAAGCCCCAGUACAGCUGCUCUUUCUCUUUGACUUUAUGAUCUCAGAUUUCUCACCUCUGUCAGAAAUAAAGUGUUUCCUGUGAAGUUGACAGUUCCUUUAAAGAGACAUGAGCAGCAGAGUUUUAGGGCAGUUAUAGAUCUGUGUUCCUCUUUGUACUCACACAAAAUAAAACUAAUUUCUACGCAGAGUUUAUUUUAUGUCACA